rnacentral:rRNA from 1 species
UACGUAGGGUGCGAGCGUUGCCCGGAUUUAUUGGGCGUAAAGGGCGCGUAGGCGGCUCUGCACGUCCGUUGUGAAAUCGCCCGGCUCAACUGGGCGGGGUCAGCGGAUACGGUGUGGCUCGAGCAAGCUAGGGGGCAAUGGAAUUCCCGGUGUAGUGGUGGAAUGCGUAGAUAUCGGGAGGAACACCAGUGGCGAAGGCGGUUGCCUGGAGCUUUGCUGACGCUGAGGCGCGAAAGCGUGGGGAGCGAUCCGG